rnacentral:misc_RNA from 1 species
GGAAGUAAAGUCGUAACAAGGUUUCCGUAGGUGAACCUGCGGAAGGAUCAUUAUUGUAUAACCGAGGCGCGAGGGCUGUCGCUGACCCGAAAGGUCGUGCACGCCCGAGUGCCCUCACACACAUCCAUCUCACCCCUAUGUGCACCACCGCGUGGGUCCCCCUUUGGCUUGUUCGGAGGGGGGCUUACGUUUUCACACAAACUUUGUAUGCAGUGUAGAAUGUAUUUUUUGUUUUUGCGAUCACGCAAUCAAUACAACUUUCAACAACGGAUCUCUUGGCUCUC